rnacentral:rRNA from 1 species
AUACGGAGGGGGCUAGCGUUGUUCGGAAUUAUUGGGCGUAAAGAGCACGUAGGUGGAUUUGUUAGUCAGAUGUGAAAGCCUUUUGUUCAACGGAAGAAUUGCAUCUGAAACUACAAACCUUGAGUAUAGGAGGGGAGAGUGGAACUUCUGGUGGAGCGGUGAAAUGCGUAGAUAUCAGAAGGAACGCCGGCGGCGAAAGCGACUCUCUGGCCUAUAACUGACACUGAGUGUGCGAAAGCUAGGGGAGCAAACGGGAUUAGAUACCCGAGUAGUCC